GCCGGGCGUGGUGAUGCACGCCUGUAAGCCCAGCUACCUGGGAGGCUGAGGCAGGAGAAUCGCUUGAACCCGGGAGGCGGAGGUUGCGGUGAGCCAAGAUCGUGCCACUGCACUGCAGCCUGGCUGACAGAGCGAGACCCUGUCUUUU
ensembl:misc_RNA Metazoa_SRP Metazoan signal recognition particle RNA